UAGUGUUUAUAUCAAAACACAUUCAUAUUCUACUAAAACAAAAAACAUUUCAACUCUUUUAACACACACUCUCUCUCUCUCCAUGCGUUCUAGCUAACCAGAAGCAAACGUUCGAACAUGGCCGCAAAGCUAAAUGUGCGAUUCCAAUCACAGGGUUGAAGAAAUGGAUAUUAGUUCCUCGAUGAUACAGAAGUCGGUCAGUUUCCCGUCACGCACAACCAAACUAUUGCUGCUUCAGCUCCGACAGUGGGUGGCUAUCAGAGCUAUUAGAAACCUGUAAUAGUGCAAAAGCAGACUUAAAGGAGAAAUGUAACUUUUCAUGUUUGAAGCAAUAUAAAAACACAAGGAAUCCUCACCUUCAGAUUCAUAGGACAAAAGUUCACUACUGGGUUUUUUCCUUGACUUUAUUUUACUAGGAAUCCUCACCUUAUCAUGUCACUUUGGUUUCUGCUCUACCUGUCAGGAUUUUCUACUAAAUUAUGUUGCAAAUAUGUUUGUAUGGAUGAUGUGCUUUGGUUUAAGCUUCUGAGUUUCUUAGAUGCACAUUGUAUGUACUUAAUAGUCUUAAAUGUAUGUACUUAUCUUUCUUAGAUGUUGAAAUGCAAUUAACUAUAUGAACUGCAAUUCUGAACAAAAUGUGCAAAUUGCUCUUUCCAGUUAAUCAUGACUGACAAGGUUUGUGAAUUUUCUAUGUGAAUGUAUGUGUGUUCAUUGAGUGUGUGUAUAUUG